AUGAAUACAAAUGAGUGGAGAUCAACUCGAGGGAUCAGACGGAGGAAAGCUGUGUUUGAUCUUAAUGUGGCACCCACUGAUCUUGAAGGGACCUCAGCCUCCGUAAGAGCAGCUCCCAUUGUGCCUAGCUGUGAUCUUCAAAGAGAGUCUGUGCCUUCUCACCCUGCUCCGGCCAUGAUUGAUGUAGAUGCUAUUGAAGAUGAUGUCGUUGAAUCAUCCGCAAGUGCUUUCGCUGAGGCUAGAAGUAAAUCAACAGGUGCACGUCGGAGACGGUUACUGGUUGAUGUAGAGUCAGGUGAACGGGUGAGUGCAGGUGGUACGACUAGAUUGACUCCCAACAAACGGAGAAGGGUUCCUCCUAAUCAACCUGUCAUCGACUGUGAGCAUGUGCAGAGUGUGUGUAGCUCAAAGGCUCCACCUCCUCCACCAGAAGAGCCGAAAUUCUCUUGUCCAAUUUGUAUGUGCCCGUUCACGGAGGAGAUGUCAACGAAAUGCGGUCACAUCUUCUGCAAGGGAUGUAUAAAGAUGGCAAUAUCUCGCCAAAACAAGUGCCCUACUUGUAGGAAAAAGGUGACUGCCAAAGAGCUGAUUCGAGUCUUCCUUCCAACUACUAGAUGAACAUUAACACCCACCUUUGUCUAAUGGUUUGUCUUGACUCUAUCCUCAAAUUCGCGUUGGAACAUUGGAUGGACUUCGAGGAAUUGACGUUUUAGUUUGAAUGUUUCACUUUGUUGGAAGAAAAAAAAAACUUCAUUGGUCAAGAAGGCCAUAUCAUUGUAUGAGGCAAAUAGUGGGAGCUAGACAUGGAGUUUAUUAGAAUAUCGUGAUCUGGAACUAGAGUGUAAUGGUAGCAGAAGAUAUAGAGUAGAAAAGUUCCAUUCUUAAACCAUUUUUAAUGUUUAGAGGUUUUUGAUCCAUGUAUCUUUACGGCUAGAUCUAAACUAUUUGUAAAUUAAUUUUUGAAAAAAAAGAUAUAUUUUAUAACUAAACUUAUGAUUUUUUUUAGAGAAAUUAGGUUCUAUAUACAUUGUUUUAGUCAAAAUUAGGCAAAUGCCCUCUACAUUAUUCAACUCUUCGUAAUCCAAUAAUACCCCUGUAUCUUCCUUCGUAUUUGUUGGAAAAAGAGAAAACUAAAAAUCACUUUUACAAAUUAAAUUGAAAUCCCUAAACGCUGUGAUGAGACAAAUCCAGAUUUGCAUCAAAAACAUAAAUAUAUGACGAUGGUUGUAUUGGCGGAUGUAGGAAACUAAUUAGUUGGGGGCACAGUGAUUUUUUCCAUUAUGAUUAAUUUUAGAGUGGAAACAUUUGAUAAACUUUAUAGUAUUUAUGGAAGAAGUUUUUUAAACAGUUGGGGGCAUGUGCCCCCGUAGCUGUUGUCUUGCGUCCGCUUAUACAUAGAGAUCAAUCUAUUCUCUUUUUCUUCUCCAUCUUUGGGUUUCAUCAUCAUCACCGACACCUUCUCUCCACCGCAAAGCUGAGAGUUUGAGUACACUGCAAAACCGCCGUAGCUUUUGAUAAACCCACUACAUCUCUGCAAGAUGAAUUCUUCUUCAAAGAGCUUACUGGUUGGUGUUCGUCCUCCUCCACAACGGCCAUUACCUGCAAUUCUGGAGCACCUUCUCUUACACAGUCAUCACAAUGUUUUAUUGGAUAUCUGUUUUCUUAAGAUGCUAACUGAUCUUGUUAAUUUUGUUCUCUUCGUUUUUUGCCUUUAUUUUACUACUGUAUUCCCAACUACAUAUACUUACUGUACAUUGUUUUCAGCAUAAAUACUGCUGUAUUACUAACUAAAUAUAUAAAUUGCAGUUAAACGUUUUCGUAACCCUUACGGCCUUACCACAACCUAUUUUGGUGAUUGCAUUUCACCAUUUUUAUAACGCAUACAUAGCCAUUGUUUAACUUUUCGUAACCAGUACACCAAACAUAUUCAUAGGUUUUAGCUUUUAUAUCAUUCGGAAAAAUCACCAAUAAUGAUUUCAAUUUCGUAUCAAUACCAUUAAAUUAGGAACAUGUCCAAUUUGAUAAUAGUUUGGUCCAGUGGAUAAAUGAAACUGAACCUUAUAAUUAUGAUGUAAUUGGUGUUAGUUGAGUACGCAAAUGUCCGCUAUAGAAUAAUGUUCUUGACAGUUUUUAAUUAU